UCUGAUUUGGUAGCCAUCUCUGGUUAAAACUAUGCAGGGAGAUCCAUUAUUGUCAUUUCCUUGAUGAUGUUUAUGAAGUUGUGAAACUGAGCACCCUUGCAAAUUUCGAUGUUGUCGAUAUUGCUACAAAGAGAGGGCUGCAGAAAACAAUAACAGAAAUGGUGAAAGCAAUGUACUUGAUUGGUUUCAUGCUAGGAUCCUUUUUUGCUUUUCGGGUCGAUCUCAUUCUUAAGUGAAAAUGACUUAAUAUUGCUUUCUCACAGUUGAAUCCUUAAUCUUCCAUAUAUUCUUGUUAUCUGGUGGAAACCGGACAUCGCAGAUUGAUUUCUUUCCGUCUAUGUUUCGGGUUGGAGUCGAUAAAUUGCCUUAAUCGUUCACGUAGGUCACAAUCUUUUGUACAUGAAGAGGUUUUCAUUAAUAAUCAGA